UCGAGGUAGCCAAUCCAUCAGCAGAGAGAGUUUGUUGUUUCUUGUGCGAGCCUAUGCAUGAGUGUUUGUGUGUGUUUUACGGAUCAGUAUUCUCCGAGGAGAGCAGAACUCUGGGAAUAACUCUGGUAGGACGAGACAAAGGGAGAUGGAGAGUCGGCACCGGAAAGACAAGCGAGCAACCCAGCCGCCCGGAUCUCUUCCCGUCCUGCCUUCCCCCUCAUGCUCCUCUCUGGAUUCCCCUCCUUGGUUCCCUCCCUGGACCCCCGGACCCUCCAUCACCCCGGACCACCUGCGCCUGGCUUCCUACCUCUGACGUCCCAGCCUUCAGUCUUCCUGCCGCCGCGAGCGUCCUCCCACUCCCGACCGCUGCACUCUGUCCCUCCCGGAUUCCCCGCUGACCGCUGAUCCCCGACCCCACCGCUCCAUCCCCGGAUUCCUCCUCGCCGCACCCUCCUGGAUCCUCCUCUGGCUCCUCACCCCCUCCGUAAUCCCCCCGCCUUCCCUCAGUAAACCUUGCAUUCAGCCUGCCUCUGCCUUGGUUGUGUGGUCUCUGCUUGGGUUUGCCAGUGUGUAUCGUGACAACUUGCUUGUAAAUUUAUGUAAUUUUGGGGUUUUUUUUUGUUCGUAUUUUAACUAUGUUUUAACUGUGUAAUUUUCUACCUGUCUUUUGUAUUAGCUACUGCCUACCUUGACCAGAACUCCCUUAAAAAAGAGGUUCUUAAUCUUAACUGGAUUUAUCCUGGUUAAAUAAAAGUUAAACAAAAAAUACAGGCUAUGAUACAAAGAGAUUCGAAAAGAAAUUGGAAUAUUAAAUCUGGAAUAUUCAAAAUGAA